rnacentral:rRNA from 1 species
CCAAGGAGUCUAACAUGUGUGCGAGUCAUUGGGUCUUGAAUAAGCCCAAAGGCGAAAUGAGAGUGAAGGCCAGGCCAAUCGGCCGGCUAGGUUGGGAUCCUCCGUCCAAGUGGCGGGGGCGCACCAACUUCCCGUCCCGUCCGCGGUGUCGGUGGGGCGGAGAAGGAGCAGACAUGUUGGGACCCGAAAGAUGGUGAACUAUGCCUGGGCAGGACGAAGCCAGAGGAAACUCUGGUGGAGGUCCGCAGCGAUUCUGACGUGCAAAUCGAUCGUCAGACCUUGGUAUAGGGGCGAAAGACUAAUCGAACCAUC